rnacentral:rRNA from 1 species
AUGGACCGAGGGGAGUUCUUCCUGAGCAUGUUCGUCACCGACCGACGAGUUCACCUCAGCUGGGAGGUGAUUUUUGUCUAUGGUCCUGCGGAUCAUGGGCGCUUUGCCGACUUCCUUGCCGAGCUCAAAAAUAAGGUGGAGAGGUGCACCACUCCGGUGGUGGUGGCCGGGGACUUCAACCUCAUUAGGUGGGCUUCAGAUAAAAACUCUCCUAAUGUUGAUCGGGUCCGCAUGCGUCUAUUCAACGACUGCAUUGCGGACCUUGCACUUCGUGAGAUAGCCCGCGUAGGGGCUAGGUUCACAUGGACGAAUAAGCAGGCGGACCCCAUCCAGAGUGUUUUGGAUCGGGUAUUUGUGUCGGCUCAGUGGGAAGUGAUGUUCCCAUUGUGCUCCCUCAAGGCGGUCACUCGGAUUGGCUCCAACCAUACCCCCCUGCUUUUCUCUUCGGCGGAUGAUGCCCCCCAGAACCCGUCGCUUCCGCUUUGA